GCAGGCUUAGAGGGAGAGACAAAGGAAGGAAUGGGAGCGCACAAAGGGAGCGGGAAUGAAAUGACAUCGUGAGAAGGUAGCCAUCGGUAAGCCUGGAAGACAGCCCUCAUCAGAAACCAACUCUGCAAGACCGUGGUCUGGGACUCCUGGCCUCCAGAACUGCAAGCAAUUAAAUACCUGUUGAUGAAGGCACACAGUCUGUGGCAUUUUGUUAUGGCAGCUCUUGAAGACUGAUAUACUCCAUAAUGAUGGAAAGGAGAGGCUACUAGGCCUGAAGCAGGCUUGCGCAGGGUGGACUGAGGGCUCUGAAGGGCCACACAGAAUCUCAUUAUUCUUCCAAAGUAGAGGUGGUAACAUUUACUCUUUUCUUUUGAUGUCCUUGGCACAAACCAAGACAACAGCAGAGUGAGCCCCAAACUCAAUGCAAUUCCCAGGCGGGGAUAGAUACCCAAGACCAUUACGAUUAUCCCAAUUCAAAACUCUUUUCUCAGGCUGAAAGAUUUCGCUGCUAUUGUUCAGGGGCCUGCUUCCAGCCAUGUGAAGAUGCCUGCUGCAGCCUCGCUUUCUGCCAUGAAUAAAAGCUCCAUGCUUCCUGUACAGCCUGCAGAAUCGAAAGUCAAUUAAUUCUCUUUAUGAAAUACCCGCUUGUGGACAUUUCUUUAUAGCAGUGUGAAAAUAGACUAAUACCCCACUCCCUGACCACGUAUCCUCCCCUCACCCAACGCACAGCUGGAAUCAGGUGUGUUGUCAGUUUCCCUGUAAAGGCUCAUAUCCAGUUGGUGUACAGAGGGUUCACGGAGACUGGCAUCUGAAUGGUACUGCCUGGAAUGAGCAGUGAUAGGGCCCAGUCCAUUUCUGCUUCUCAAAUUGAUGCCCCAUCAGUGAGGCACAAAAGUGAUUCCCACUCCCUGCCACCAGUCCCAGACCAUACUGCCCAGGUGGCUCAUUGCUGGUGCUGUGGCUCUGCCCGCUGCCUUUGUGGGAGAAAUGUAAUAUUAGCCAACCUUCAGGGUUAGGAGGUAUUAAUUUAGGGUGUGCUGGUGUACUAGGUGUUCAGUACCAAGGGCUAUUCUUCUUCUAGGUAAGAAGUUUUAAAUUUUGAGUUAAAACUGUCCUUUUCUUUAAAAUUCUGAUAAAAACUCAGGCAUUCUAGGAUUAAUUCCCUGAUUAAACUGACAAACACAUGAUCAUGGAACACUGCCCUGUUCUUGGACUCAU